AGAGUUUGAUCAUGGCUCAGGACGAACGCUGGCGGCGUGCUUAACACAUGCAAGUCGAACGGAAAGGCCCUUCGGGGUACUCGAGUGGCGAACGGGUGAGUAACACGUGGGUGAUCUGCCCUGCACUUUGGGAUAAGCCUGGGAAACUGGGUCUAAUACCGAAUAUGACCACGCUCUUCAUGGGGUGUGGUGGAAAGCUUUUGCGGUGUGGGAUGGGCCCGCGGCCUAUCAGCUUGUUGGUGGGGUAAUGGCCUACCAAGGCGACGACGGGUAGCCGGCCUGAGAGGGUGACCGGCCACACUGGGACUGAGAUACGGCCCAGACUCCUACGGGAGGCAGCAGUGGGGAAUAUUGCACAAUGGGCGCAAGCCUGAUGCAGCGACGCCGCGUGAGGGAUGACGGCCUUCGGGUUGUAAACCUCUUUCACCAGGGACGAAGCGCAAGUGACGGUACCUGGAGAAGAAGCACCGGCCAACUACGUGCCAGUAGCCGCGGUAAUACGUAGGGUGCGAGCGUUGUCCGGAAUUACUGGGCGUAAAGAGCUCGUAGGUGGUUUGUCGCGUUGUUCGUGAAAACUCACAGCUUAACUGUGGGCGUGCGGGCGAUACGGGCAGACUAGAGUACUGCAGGGGAGACUGGAAUUCCUGGUGUAGCGGUGGAAUGCGCAGAUAUCAGGAGGAACACCGGUGGCGAAGGCGGGUCUCUGGGCAGUAACUGACGCUGAGGAGCGAAAGCGUGGGGAGCGAACAGGAUUAGAUACCCUGGUAGUCCAA
rnacentral:rRNA from 1 species